rnacentral:rRNA from 1 species
GGUCAAAUAUAUUAAGGCUUACGGUGGAUACCUAGGCAUUCAGAGACGAUGAAGGGCGUGGAUACCGACGAAACGCUUCGGGGAGUUGGAAACAAGCAUUGAUCCGAAGAUUCCCGAAUGGGGAAACCUGUAAAACUGCUUAUUGAAUUCAUAGAUAAGUAAGAGAUAACUUGCUGAACUGAAACAUCUUAGUAAGCAAAGGAAGAGAAAGCAAACGCGAUUUCCUUAGUAGCGGCGAGCGAAACGGAAACAGCCUAAACCUAAUUGAUUUAUUGAUUGGGGGUCGUGGGAAGAAAAAAAGUUAUAUCUAGAUAUAUUUGCCAAAUAGAGAAUCGGAUUUCUUCCGAUUCCGGUCAAAACGAAGCAGCUGAAUCCUGCACCAAAGAAGGUGAAAGUCCUGUAGUUGGAAAGCCAAUCUAUUUGUUUCUAAUCCCGAGUAGCAUGGGGCACGUGAAAUCCCGUGUGAAUCCGCGAGGACCACCUCGUAAGGCUAAAUACUCCUGAAUGACCGAUAGCGAAAUAGUACCGUGAGGGAAAGGUGAAACAGAACCCCAGUCGGGGAGUGAAAAAGAACAUGAAACCGUAAGCUGACAAACAGUGGGAGCGCAAGUGACCGCAUGCCU